AUUGAACGCUGGCGGCAGGCCUAACACAUGCAAGUCGAGCGGAUGAAGCGAGCUUGCUCCUGGAUUCCGCGGCGGACGGGUGAGUAAUGCCUAUGAAUCUGCCUGGUAGUGGGGGAUAACGUCCGGAAACGGGCGCUAAUACCGCCUACGUCCUGCGGGAGCAAGUGGGGGAGCUUCGGACCUCACGCUCUCAGAUGGGCCUAGGUCGGAUUAGCUAGUUGGUGGGGUAAAGGCCUACUAAGCCGACGAUCCGUAACUGGUCUGAGAGGAUGAUCAGUCACACUAGAGCUGAGACACGGACCAGACUCCUACGGGAGGCAGCAGUGGGCAAUAUUGGACAGUGGGCGAAAGCCUUAUCCAGCCAUGCCGCGUGUGUGAAGAAGGUCUUCGGAUUGUAAAGCACUUUAAGUUGGGAGGAAGGGCAGUAAGUUAAUACCUUGCUGUUUUGACGUUAACAACAGAAUAAGCACCGGCUAACUUCGUG
rnacentral:rRNA from 1 species